AUUGAACGCUGGCGGCAGGCUUAACACAUGCAAGUCGAGCGAGCGGCGGACGGGUGAGCAAUGUCUGGGAAACUGCGUGAUGGAGGGGGAUAACGACUGGAAACGGUAGCUAAUACCGCAUACCACAAGAUGUGCCCAGAUGGGAUUAGCUAGUCGGUGGGGUAAUGGCUCACCUAGGCGACGAUGCAUAGCAGGUCUGAGAGGAGUAACAGCCACACUGGAACUGAGACACGGUCCAGACUCCUACGUGAGGCAGCAGUGGGGAAUAUUGCACAAUGGGCGAAAGCCUGAUGCAGCCAUGCCGCGUGUGUGAAGAAGGCCUUCGGGUUGUAAAGCUCUUUCGGCGAGGAGGCGUUACUCGCACAGGAAGCACCGGCUAACUCCGUGCCAGCAGCCGCGGUAAUAC
rnacentral:rRNA from 1 species